GACGUAGGUGGCAAGCGUUGUCCGGAGUUAUUGGGCGUAAAGCGCGCGCAGGCGGUCUCUUAAGUCUGAUGUGAAAGCCCACGGCUCAACCGUGGAGGGUCAUUGGAAACUGGGAGACUUGAGUGCAGAAGAGAAGAGUGGAAUUCCACGUGUAGCGGUGAAAUGCGUAGAGAUGUGGAGGAACACCAGUGGCGAAGGCGACUCUUUGGUCUGUAACUGACGCUGAGGCGCGAAAGCGUGGGGAGCAAACAGG
rnacentral:rRNA from 1 species